AUUUGUUUAACUAUGGCAAUAAGAAGUUUUGCUUACUUAGUUGCAUAAAUUCAUUGUAGGAAGGUUUAUAGAGGGAGCACGCCUUAUGUUAUUAGCAAUUAAUCUUUUAUUUGAGCUUACGCUUUGUAAGAAGGGAGUGAAAGAAGGGGAUAGGACACAGUGCCAGCAUCCGCGGUUAAUCUGUUAUCUUUGCUUUUUCUUGAAUAAUAGUUAACAAUUUAGGAGCAAGGCUAGGUGAAAUUUUCUUGCAGGCUAUCUUGAUUGUUGUAUUGAGAGAAUUUACCAAGUAAUGACAGGGAUUAGAAACCCCAUUAAUUGGUAAACUAUUUUAUUUUAGUUUCAUAACUAAAAUAGUUUGGCAGUGAGUUACUCCUAUCGGGGGAAGGUGUGUUGUAAAGGACGAUCCGCCUAUUAAUUUACCUGUGCUAUGCUGGUGUAUAUCUGGUUAGAUAUUAUUGCUUAAUAGCUUAAUUUGUGUAGGUUUAAAAUUUAAGCCAAGUCUAUGUGCUGCAUGCACAGGAUUUCAUGCGUUACUAUUAUGUAAAAGCUUUAGUGUGAGAUAAAGCUAAAUUAGGGACUCGAAAGUAAUGGUGGUUUAGUUAGUCGCUGUGAAAAGGGUUUAACUCAGGUACACACCGCCCGUCACCCUCGACGUAUGUUGAGGUAAGUCGUAACAUGGUAACUCUAGAUGAAUUUGGGGUUAAUUGCUCUUUA
rnacentral:ncRNA from 1 species